GGAUUUUUAAAGGCAGUGCUUUAAUGCCUUUCUAGUUGCCGGGUUAAUCCUUCCUUCCGCGAUAUCCAACUUAUCUACUUAGGGGGUCAUUAGACUCCAAGUAGAUCCGGAAAUGUUGAAUUCUCUCCUCUUCUUAUUGCGAUAUAAAAUGUUUUUUGUGUCAUUUCAUUUACAUUGGGAAAUAGAGAAACGAUCAUUGUGUUUUGUUAGUUUUAAAAACUUUUGAUAUAUUAGUAUUUUGCAUUAUAAGCAGUCAACCGAUUGACAAACUAGAAUUAUUUGAAUUCCGUGUGGAAAGAGCUCGGGUUAAUUUCGAGUGUUAUCUGCAAUCUAGAUGUUUAUAAAUCAUUUCAGUCGUUGAUAUAAUAAUUAAAGGUCGACUGAACAUGAAUUAUAUUAUACAAUUUAAAGCGCAUUUCUGUUUAUGCACGUAAACCCGUCUAACGUUAUUUUCGCAUUUAUAUAAAGUAGCAAAUUAUCGUUCCUGAAUAGGUGGCGCCGUGGUAGCGGAUCCUGUUCCUCUUCUUCCGGUUUCUGCACUGUGCAACUAUUUCAGUUAUAUUUUUAAUUAACGAUGCCAAAUACUUGUUGUUGUGUACCUGGAUGUCAUUUAAGAGGAGGACAUGCAUUUCCAAAUGACUUAAAAAGAAGGAAAAGUUGGAUCAACUCCAUGGCCCAUACGCAGAUUGGACGAGAACACGAUGAUAUCGUGGAGUCCAUCUCAAUCAGCUGUUGUUUGCAAGGCACGUUUUACUGAAAAAGACUACGUGCAGGAAACUAUUCAUGGGCGCAAACCCACCAUACAGAGACUUAAGUCUACUGCAAUUCCCAGCCUAUUUUCCUGGACCAAGCAAGAGACUGAAUCGUCUGCAAAAAGAAAAAUCAGGGCAGUUUCCUAUGAAAACAAAAGAACUAAACUUGAUGAAUAUUGUAGUAGAUAUCUAGAGGAAAGUUUUGAUUGUAAAGUUGGUUUUCCUGAAGAAGUCAUUCAUACUGCAGAAAGGAUUUAUGACUGUCCACCACCAACUGCCGAGCUAAUGUAGAGCUUCACAGAUGGAAUUACGCAAACACCAUUAAUGCCUAUGUUUUCAGCAGAGAAUUUUGAAAUGAAGACAGGUGACACAGCCAUGCAUUUUUAUACCGGUUUAGAGUUGUAUACUAAAUUUUUAUUUGUUUUGACCACACUUGGUCCAGCAGCACAUUGUUUGAGAUACAUAUAUUUUCAAAUUGAUAGGGUGUCAGUUGAAAAUCAGUUUUUUUAUGACUUUGAUGAAAUUGAGGCAUCAUACAACCAACUUUGAACUGUCUAGAUUCUAGAUUGAAUCUAGUGUUAAGAAUAUUGUGUAUACAUGGAUUGUUUUUAUGUCUAAACAGUGGUGUGAGGCUAACACUUGGCCAUCUAGUGGUUUAGUCAGGUAUUUUUCACCAUCCAACUUCAAAUUAAAGUUUCCUACGACUUGGAUUAUUAUUGACAGCACAGAUUAUCCUGUGAUAAAACCUAAAGCUCCUAGAGCUCAGGCAACCUUUUCAUCAAAUAAAAACAGAAACACUGAAAAUUCUUGAAUGUUCGACACCUGGUGGUUUAGUCAACUAUGUCUCUAUGUCACAUAGAGCGAAUUAUUGGACUUGGCAAAACAUACAAAAUUCUAAUAAAUCUUAUGAAUGGAACUGAAACAAAACUUUCAUCUGAAAUAACAUUUAGUUGUUUUAUGUUGUGUAAUUUUAGAACUUGUAUUGUGCCAAAGGAUGCAUAAAUAAAAGUGACGCAAUGAAUUUUGUUCUGAUAUAUAUAUAUUUACAAUUACAUGCACAUGUAAAUUGUAAUGCAUAUAAAAAUAAGGAGAUGUGGUAUGAUAUUCAGUGAGUUUAUCAAACUAAAGUGCAUAAGAAAUGGGUUAAAGCAGUUACAGGUGUUACUGUCACUGUACAAUCUCCAACAAUGAGAAAAACUCUUACCGUGUAAAAAAUUUCAGAGAUCUUACAACUAAGUUUUGUUGUCUCACCUUGACUUUGGUGAAUUUUUUAUAUCUGUUGAUGUAAAUAUAAAAAAGAAGAUGUGGUAUGAUUGCCAAUGAGACAACUCUCCACACAUGCACAAGAGACCAAAUGACACAGAAAUUAACAGCUAUAGGUCACAGUACGGCCUUCAACAAUGAGCAAAGCCCAUACCGCACAGUCAGCUAUAAAAGGCCCAGAAAUGACAAUGUAAAACAAUUCAAACAAGAAAACUAACGGCCUAUUUUAUGUAAAAAAAUGAACAAAUAUAACAAAUAUGCAACACAUAAACAAACGACAACCACUGAAUUACACUUUUAUAGGCUGCUGACUUGGGACAGGCACAUACAUGUACAUACAGAAUGUGGCGGGCUUAAACAUGUUAGCGGGAUCCCAACCCUCCCCCUAACCUGGGACAGUGGUGUAACAGUACAAUAUAAGAAAGAACUAUAAAAAUCAGUUGAAAGAGGCUAAACUCAUCAGAUGGAUAAAUACAAAUACAAGUGGACGUGGUCAGGUAGUUGUACAUCCAAACAACAAAAAGACACUAAGUACAAAUCUGAGAGUACUCGCAGUUACUGACAGCUAGUUCAAAGCCACUAACAACUGAUAAAAAAAUCUUGCAUCUAAGACUAAAUUAUCAAUCCGUAAGCUCCCUUUAGAAUUUUAUAAAUUUUAGAUUUUACAUUUCUGAGUUAUGGGGUUUUAUUCAUUAAAAAAGGGGGGAUUUUCCAGUUUUUGGACAACAACUCAAAAAUGCUUUAAGCAGUUCACAUGAAACUUUGGUGAAUUAUUUAUAGCUAUUGAUGUAAUCUCCCUAUUGAUUUUCAUAAAUUUCAAAUAUGACAUUGAGAAGAAAUUGAACUUUAUUUGUUUAUAGUCUGGCAACAGAUUUAUUAAGUAUUGCACAACAGCACAGUGUAUUUCACAACAGCAAGAAAUCUUUAAUUGAAUAUAAAUUCAAUUCAUAUAACCGAUUUCAAGUUCAUUGACUACAUUUAUUCAGAAACUAUAAUAUGUCAAAUAUUUAAUUACAAUCCAAAUUCAGACCUGUAUCAAGCUUGAAUAUUGUGUCCAUUUUUGCCCCAGCUGUUCAGGGUAGUACCUCUGCGGGUGUAUCCAGCUGCGCUCAGCGAAUCAGUUUAUUUCUUAAUUAAGAACUUUUUAUACGACCGCAAAAAAAUUUUUGUGGUCGUAUAUUGGUAUGAUGUUGGCGUCGUCGUCCGAAGACACAUUAGUUUUCGCACUCUAACUUUAGUUUAAGUGAAUGGAUCUCAAUGAAAUUUUAAAAUAAGGUUCAAUACCACAAAGGGAAAGUGGGGAUUGAUUUUGGGGGUUAUGGUACCAACAGUUAAGGAAUUAGGGGCCAAAAAUAAGCAUUUUUGUAACUUCCAGACAUAACUUGUGUGUAAGUGUAUGGAUCUCUCUGACAUUGUACCACAAGGUUCCAUAUCACAAAGGGAAUGCUGGGAUUGAUUUUUUGGGGUAAUUGCCUCCAAAUUUUAGGAAUUAGGGGCCAAAAAGGGGCAAAAAACAAGCAUUUUUAUAGUUUCAUGACAAUAACUUGUGUGCAAUUCUAUGGAUCUCUCUGACAUUGUAUCACAAGAUUCCAUAUCACAAAGGGAAUGCUGGGAUUGAAUUUGGGGGUAAUUGCCUCCAAAUUUUAGGAAUUAGGGGCCAAAAAGGGGCAAAAAACAAGCAUUUUUCUAGUUUCAUGGCAAUAACUUGUGUGUAAGUGUAUGGAUCUUUAUGAAAUUGUACUACAAGGUUCCAUAUCACAAAGGGAAAGCUGGGUUUGAGUUUGGGGGUAAUUGCCCUAAACGUUUAGGAAUUUGGGACCAAAAAGGGGCCAAAAAACAAGCAUUUUUCUAGUUUCCAGACAAUAACAUGUGUUCAAGUGUAUGGAUCUUUAUGAAAUUGUACUGCAAGGUACCAUACCACAAAGGGAAGGCUGGGAUUGAGUUUUGGGGUGAUGAAUCAUAAGGGGGUUCAAAAAAUUUUGGGGGGAUUCUUUUUCCUUUUUUUUCUUUAAAAUUUUCCAUUUUAAAUUGGUUAUUUCUGAUUUAUAUAUAAAAGCAAAUAAUAAUGAUAUGGUUUGAAUAGGUAAAUUAAAUUUUUUUAAGUAUCUUAGACCACUUUCAUUCUGUGUCAGAAACCUAUGCUGUGUCAAAUAUUUAAUUACAAUCCAAAUUCAGAGCUGAAUCAAGCUUGAAUGUUGUGUUCAUACUUGCCCCAACUGUUCAGGGUUCGACCUCUGCGGUCGUAUCAAGCUGCGCCCCAGCGGAGCAUUUUAUUUCAUUCAUAAAUUACUUUAUGCUUGGAAAUAUAAUUUUGCUUGGAGUUGAAAGAGUUGACAUGUUGCAAUGUACAUUUACUCUACAUAGUUCUAUGGUACCAAAUCAAAAGUUUAUAUAAAGAAAGAAGUCAAAGGUUUCCCAUCAUAGUUUAGUUACAUACAUUUUUUUUGUACCUGAGGUCGUUGAAUAUAGAUCAUUAUAUAAAUAAGGAGAUGUGUUAUGAUUGCCAAUGAAAAAACUAAGGAUUUUCUUAUCCAAGGAAUAGAUUACCUUAGCCGUAUUUGGCACAACUUUUUGGAAUUUUGGGUCCUCAAUGCUCUUCAACUUUGUACUUGUUUGGCUUUGUUACUAUUUUGAUCUGAACGUCACUGAUGAGUCUUAUGUAGACGAAACACACGUCUGGCGUAUUAAAUUAUAAUCCUGGUACCUUUGAUAACUAAUUUGACUAUAAACAUAGAUAAAAAAGGUACAAACUGGACAUAAUGCACUAGUUCAUAAACAAGUGAGAACAAUCGCCUUCAUAUAGUGCUCAGAAUAUGACAUUCAUAAAACUUAUUCAAUAUCAUUAGAGAACUCUAAAUCUUAAAUACUGAAAGCCACCUCUGAUAAGUACACUGUACUAUGCAAGAUAAUGAUAUAACUGGACUUAAAAUACACACAACCUGUAAUUAACUGCCUUUACAGCGCUUUCGUGCUUUGAUUGAAAU